rnacentral:sRNA from 1 species
CAGCAAAUGGCGGAUGACGCCGGUGCAGCGGGGGGGCCCGGAGGCCCUGGUGGCCCGGGGAUGGGGAACCGCGGUGGCUUCCGCGGAGGUUUCGGCAGUGGCAUCCGGGGCCGGGGUCGCGGCCGUGGACGGGGCCGGGGCCGAGGCCGCGGAGCUCGCGGAGGCAAGGCCGAGGAUAAAGAGUGGAUGCCCGUCACCAAGUUGGGCCGGUUGGUCAAGGACAUGAAGAUCAAGUCCCUGGAAGAGAUCUAUCUCUUCUCCCUGCCCAUUAAGGUACGCGUCGGUCGUUGGGGCGUUGAGCAAGUGCGACCCAGGAGUCACUUGGGCUGGGGUUGGAGGAUUAGUAUCUGCCAUUGACCCGCAUUAAAGGGCCCAGCGUCUCGCUUGAGAGGUUGAGGUUGUGUUGCGGGCUGGCUGAGGAGAGGAUUCCACUUAGAGGUUGGAUGGAUACCUGAGUGAAGCCAGAGCCACAAAAGGCAUUUCAGCGCAUCUUCCCACAUUCGCAGCGAAUUCAUUUCCAAAGAACUGAAAGAGAAGCAGCGCUUGGUUCAUGCCAUGCGAGAGGAUGAUGAAGUUCAGGUUGUGGGAGGACACUGUAAGGGUUGGCAAACUGUCAUAGUCCGCGUGUACGGGACAGCUGUCAUCUGCGUCCAGCGGGUGCAGUGGGGAAAGGCUAAUGGCAUAUUUGUCAUGUGAGCGUUCGCCCUAGCAAGGUACGGUGGUCAUGGCUAGGCCAAAGCUGGACAAAGCAAAAGGAAAUCUGAGUGGAAAGCCACAUCUCACCAAACAAGAGGAAAAGGGCAAAUAGGAAGAAACGAUUGAGAUGCAGAAAUACGGUAACCUUACAUACAAGCCUCCAAAAACGAAGGGGACAGAUCGGGGGGAAGCCAGGAAUCAGAGAUCAUUGAUUUCUUCCUGGGGGCCUCUCUCAAGGAUGAGGUUUUGAAGAUUAUGCCAGUGCAGAAGCAGACCCGUGCCGGCCAGCGCACCAGGUUCAAGGCAUUUGUUGCUAUCGGGGACUACAAUGGCCACGUCGGUCUGGGUGUUAAGUGCUCCAAGGAGGUGGCCACCGCCAUCCGUGGGGCCAUCAUCCUGGCCAAGCUCUCCAUCGUCCCCGUGCGCAGAGGCUACUGGGGGAACAAGAUCGGCAAGCCCCACACUGUCCCUUGCAAGGUAGGCUGGUGGCAGGUGAUGGGCCUGCGGUGGGGCAGGCUCCCUCGGGCCCCCGUCUCCUGACUCCUUCCCUCACCAGGUGACAGGCCGCUGCGGCUCUGUGCUGGUACGCCUCAUCCCUGCACCCAGGGGCACUGGCAUCGUCUCCGCACCUGUGCCUAAGAAGCUGCUCAUGAUGGCUGGUAUCGAUGACUGCUACACCUCAGCCCGGGGCUGCACUGCCACCUUGGGCAACUUCGCCAAGGCCACCUUUGAUGCCAUUUCUAAGACCUACAGCUACCUGACCCCCGACCUCUGGAAGGAGACUGUAUUUACCAAGUCUCCCUAUCAGGAAUUCACUGACCACCUCGUCAAGACCCACACCAGAGUCUCCGUGCAGCGGACUCAGGCUCCAGCUGUGGCUACAACAUAGGGUUUUUAUACAAGAAAAAUAAAGUGAAUUAAGCGUG